rnacentral:rRNA from 2 species
UCGAAACCUGCCCAGCAGAAUGACCCGUGAACCUGUUGAAACAACUGGGGGCGGGGGGCGAUCUCGCCCCGUGCCCCCGAAUGGCAGGGAGACACUUGUGCAUCCCUGCUGAACAACGAACCCCGGCGCGGUCUGUGCCAAGGAAAUUUAACGAAAGAGUGCCUCUGGCCGCCUCGGAAACGGUGUGCGUGCGGGAGGUGAAUCUUGUCUAGAACCAUAACGACUCUCGGCAACGGAUAUCUCGGCUCUCGCAUCGAUGAAGAACGUAGCGAAAUGCGAUACUUGGUGUGAAUUGCAGAAUCCCGCGAAUCAUCGAGUCUUUGAACGCAAGUUGCGCCCGAAGCCACCUGGCCGAGGGCACGUCUGCCUGGGUGUCACGCAUCGUUGCCCCCAACCCCAUCUCCUUGCAAAGGGACGAAGGGGCCUGUGGGGCAGAAAUUGGCCUCCCGUGAGCUUAUGCAUGCGGUUGGCCUAAAAGCGAGUCCUCGGCGACGCGUGCCACGACAAUCGGUGGUUGACAAACCCUCGUGUCCCGUCGUGCGUGCCGCGUCGCUCAUCGUGUGCUCUUUGACCCUGCUGUGUCGUGCUAGCGACGCUUCCAACGCG